GGCUUGAUAGCUCAGCUGGUACAGCGCUCGUUGUGUUCGAGUAUGGAGUUUCUUUCGCUGGUUCGAUUUCAGCCGAAGCCG